rnacentral:rRNA from 1 species
AGUGAACGCUGGCGGCGUGGAUUAGGCAUGCAAGUCGAGCGAUCUCGCAAGAGAUAGCGGCAAACGGGUGAGUAACACGUGAGUAAUCUGCCCUUUAGUCAGACAUAGCUUCGUGAAAACGGAGGUAAUAUCUGAUGAUUUCCUUUUGUUGCAUGAUGAGAGGAUUAAAGGUGGGGACCGCAAGGCCCACCACUAAAGGAUGAGCUCGCGUCCUACAGCUAGUUGGUAGGGUAACGGCCUACCAAGGCUUAUGACGGGUAGCUGGUCUGAGAGGAUGGUCAGCCACACUGGGACUGAGAACUGCCCAGACUCCUACGGGAGGCUGCAGUCGAGAAUAUUUAGCAAUGGGCGAAAGCCUGACUAUGCGACGCCGCGUGAGGGAU